UCCGAGUUGUCCCCGGCAGUCCUCUUAGAGUCCCCGGCAUUACCCGCUGGCAACUAAGAGCAGGGGUUGCGCUCGUUGCGGCACUUAAGCCAACACCUCACGGCACGAGCUGACGACAGCCAUGCAGCACCUGUGCUAGCCCCUUACGGACACGGGCUUUCACCCGCUUUAACUAGCAUGUCAAACCCAGGUAAGGUGGGGAUGACGUAGCUAAGCCUUC
rnacentral:misc_RNA from 1 species